UGAAAAGAACUUUGAAGAGAGAGUUCAAUAGGACGUGAAACCGCUUGUAGGUAAACGGGUGGACCCACGAAGUCAGCUGGAAGUAGGAUUCAGCUGCUUCAAUUGAGAUAGUAGGGUAUCUCAUAAGGCUUUCAUUGAAAGCAGGGAUGCCUUACAUAUGUCUCUCUUGGGCAGCGCAUUUCCUAAUCUUCCACGCUGAAGCUCUGACUAGUUGGAUGGUCUGAGCAGCUGUAAAGCAGGGGAGAGGAAGGUACCUAGUUGCAGCUUGCUGUAACUGGCAUUAUAGCCUCGAACCUGUAGCUGGUUCAGUCGUACCAACUAGGUAAAUUUCCCCACAUAGUGGGGUCUUAAACGAGAAACUUGAUUCAUCCGUUCAGAUGAUGGCAAGUUAACUAAACAUUGGUAUGCUUUGCAUGCCAAGUUUGAUCAACUAGUCCGUCUAAGUAAUGGUUGUACGCUUGUUUCUUGUUUAUCUAGAGCUAGUAGGUCGGUCAUCCACCCGACCCGUCUUGAAACACGGAACCAGGGAGUCUAA
rnacentral:rRNA from 1 species